CUUUUGACAAGAAGGAGAGACUGGACGUUGUGUGUGGGGGGGGCUGAGACAGAAGAAAAGAGGACACCGUGAUUACAAUUUAAUGUCAACAUGACGGUGAGGCUGCCCUCUUUUUUUAUCUCUUACAUUUCUCUUUGUGCAAACACACACACAAUGAAGGCUAAGUACACCAUGUAGGCACCAUGUACCUGGCAUGGUGCCUUUUGUGCCAGCAGAUUUCAGGUGGCUGUAAAUGGGUUAGUUAGACACUUCAUGAUGUUUAUAUUUCACCUUACUGGUUUUCUAAAUUUUGUCACUUCACUUCUAUCUGUGUUCCUCUCCUAUUCCUCUUUGGCCCUCUUAUAAAUAUGCAUCAAGGAGUCUUGGAUUAGGGGCAAGGAUCCUUUUCUAAAGCUCUGUGUGUGUGUGUUUGGGGGAGAGCAUGUGUGUGAGCGGGUGCAUGCACGCUUGAGUAUGUGUGUUUGUGUCUUAAGCCAGGCAGAGCAAGAAUACGGCCUGCUGUAAGCCCAGGCAUGUGUCAUUUAUGUGAUUGGGUUUCGACUGCGUUGAUGUGUGACGUCUUGGACACUAGAUGACCAGACGCUCCAUGGACAACGCAGACUGUCCUGCUAAAAAUAUCAAGGUCUCGGCUAUACAUUUAUACUUGCUGCCAUCUCGCUAAGAUAUACAUAUGUCGUGCAUGUGUGCAGGCCAGGGUCCAGUGACACUAGGUGAGAGGUGUUUUUUGUUUUUUGAAGCUCUAGUGCAAGUUGAAUCUGCUUUUGUGGCCUCGCAUAUCAUUCAUUUAUGCUCAUCUGUAUUAUUUCCAUAAUUAUUAGGCAUUUGAAAUUGGACUGGUUAUAAUUUGUGAGAUUUGGGAAACAAAUCAGACUUCCAGACUUGGAGUUAUUGGUAUGUUUUAAUGUAUAAUUUGAAAUGUGUGAUAUGCACAAAUGUAAGAUCAAAUCCAAAGUAUUUAUUUUACACUAAGGCUAAAAGAUUUACGUAGCUUCUUUCUGUAUUAAAUGAAAUAAAAUUUAUAUGUAAAUGG